rnacentral:lncRNA from 1 species
UACCCGUAUCGGGUACCAUACCCGUAUUUGUGCAACACAGCUUGUAGCGGUUAUUGCUUGUAACACAUUAACUCACAUAAAACGUCUUCUUAUAGAUCCCAAACCUCUCGUUGUCACCUGAAAAUGAAAUAAAAUAGAAAGCGAACUAAAUAUUAGCAACCCGUGUCAAAUUGGACUUUCAUUUUUAAGCAAAUUAGAUCAUUUCUUUUGUAUAGGCAUUUGUAUAAUACGUAAGGCUACCAAAAUUCUUCCAGCCAAAUUUGAAAUUAAGAUUGAAAGGAGUGUACCUCAGAGCUUAACCCUCUGGCUUAGGAAUCUACAAAGAGAGAGUCCAACUAAUCAGCGUAAACUUGUUUCCAUAUCUAGAAUAGAUAAAAUGGAUCCAAGCCAAACAAAAUUAUUUAUCAAUGAAAAUAAGAACACAACAAAACACUGUGUUCAGUUGUGUGUGUGUAUAUGGAGGGAGAGGGAGAGAGAGAGGGGGGUUACAUGGGGAGUCAACCAAUGACCUGAUACCGUCAUAGCGAGAAAAGUUCAAAGAUGAUUCAGGUAAAGCAAGACAUGACAAAAUCUGGACUAUGAGUAAAUAAGACAAUAAUGCUUGACCUACUUUUGAGAUUUAAAGAAUAGUGAUCAAGACAUGACAAAAUCUAUGAAAAUAAGUUUAGGAAGAAAUAAAAAGAUAGAUGCUUAUUUCUAUCUCAUAAGAUUUAAACAGUAGAACAAUCAUAAGAUUUAAACAGUAGAACAAUUAAAUGUGGAAGACAUUUCAUAUUUCAAUAGUGAAAACAAAACAUUAAGCUCAAAGAAAGAACUAGCACAUACUCAUGGGAUCUUAUUUUCUUGUAGAAAUGCAAUUGAAACUUCAGCAUGGUUUAUGAUAAACUCCACAGCAUAAGGACCUGUUAAGCAUAAACAAAUGUUAAUUAAAGUCAUUAAACUAUCCUCUUGUUUUUGACCAAAGCUUCUUCAGAGGAUAUGUUUGAAAUGAUAAAACAAAUCACAUUGUCUUGUUUAGAUUAACUUAUUUGAGGUUUUCUACUAUCAUAAGCAUUUACGAGACUUUUUGUGUCUUUGUGAGAGCUUAAUUAUGGAAGAAACUUAUGACAUGUUCAUAAGUUGUUUUNNNNNNNNNNNNNNNNNNNNNNNNNNNNNNNNNNNNNNNNNNNNAUAGCUUAUAUAUGAAUAUAAUUUGAGUUUAUUUAUCUUUUACUAUAAACUAGCUUAUACGUAAGCACUUAUAUGAUAAUUGCUUAAUUAAGAUUUUAAUCCAAACAAGACCGAGAAGGAAGAAAAGACAUACCAAGAGUGUCAUCUAAUGGAACAUAAGUUACUGCAAAGCUAUUGCAAGCCUGCAAAAUGGCAAAACCAAUCAGGUGAAGUCUUAUUACAAUAAUUAACAAGAAUGAUUAUACAAUUACAUACAAAGUACUAUACCUCCAUUGCAACUCACAGGCCUUCCAUCCAAGCAUUUGGUUGUUGGGGUUCCUCUUGCCAGAAUCACUCUACUAAGAAUCAGUCCCAAAAUUUGAAGCAAAUCUUGCAUAAAGCUGUCUCAACAUAACAUGCAGCAACCUUGUCAAAUUUUUCAAAUUCAAAGUGAAAAUUCAUUUAAAACUAUUAAGAA